AAUCCGUUUGGGGCAACGAAUAUCCAAACCGGAUAUGCCAGCAGGUGCUCUUCUUUUCCCUCGGAUCGUGUCGCCCCCCGAGAACGAGAGAAUCCUCUCCCUUGUCUCUCUGGCUCCUGCUCGCCGCCGCCGCCGCGCCAAUGGGAUCCUCUCCUCCCUCCGCGCCACAGAACAAAGCCAACGAAGCAUCUCUGAGUCAACACGAGACUACGCUGGGAGCGUGGGACGGAGCAAGCAAGGCAGAAGCGUCCAUACAAAGCCCGCGACCGGCCGGUGAUCCGAUCGUCUGCGGCGGCCGCCGGCGAUCGCGCCCCACGUGUGGCUCCGGCGCGGCGAACCGGCCGGCAGCGGCAUGGGCCCGCGUGAGUCAAAGGUCUUCAGUCCCGUUUGACAUGAGACGCUGGUUCGUCGGACAGUGAUGUCGCGGGACUGAAAAGGCUAGUUCGGUGGGCCCCGAGAGAUACCUUGAAAAGUGUCAAAGUUGGAAUUUUGGGGGAACUAAACAGGCCUUACUCACUUUCUACUGACUGAAACUGUGCAUCAAAUCCACCGAACAAAUUCUGGGAGCCAAUAUCCCAGGCGGCAGCAGCAGCUCCAUUCACCUGCAGGGAGCACCAAGCACUCAGUUCAGUUCAGAGAACGGAAGCUAGCAGAGUCGAGGACAACGGAUUCCCGGUCACGUACGUUGAGGCACGGCUCGAUCGACGGCCCGGCCGCCGCCGUCACCGGCGUGGCAGCCGACACGGGGCAGCUCGCGGCGGCGGGCGGCGGGUACAGUUUGUUGAUGACCAUGUCCAGCCCAAAGCCGGUGGAGCCUGCCGCUGCGGACGGGUGCACCUGCUGCAUGGGGUUCAUCUGAAGGCAGGCCGGCUCCAGCUGCCCGGCCGGCAGAGCCAUCGUGGGCAGGGCGGCAGGGUUGCACGCCUGCUUCAGCUGCCUUCCGAAGAGGUCCUCGACGAUGUCGAAGCUCACCACCGGGUUGGAUGCGGCGAUCUUCAUGGACAGGAACUGCAAGAGGAGAGGAGCCUCCGGUGAGCGAUCGCACAAGCUGGAAGAAGCAGUGAAGACGAAGCCAGUUCACGGCCGCUCCGGCCUAGGACCUCUUCGAAGUCAGGCUCAGCACCGGCCAGAGGCUCGCUGCUGACGGCCUGGGCACGGCCGCCACCGGCCAGGGCGUGCUCCAGCCUAAAUCAGCGCCGGUUAGGGGUGGAUGCCGUCGGUUAGGCCGCGCCCGCCUAUGGGCGCCGGCGGGUGGAAUGGAGUUCGGCUAGAGGAAGGGGAGAUGAUGGUGGCGGUGAUGGCAGAGGCAGAGGCGGUGCGAGGGACGGGGCGGCGGCGGAACAAGAGGCAUCGCGAGGUGUUGCGAGGGAGGUUUUUUUUGGCAGCAGCUUUGGAGGAGCUUCAGAAAAAUAUUGAAGUUGUCUUUCAGAUCUAACUUUUUUUCUAAAGUUGGUAUAGUUGGAGCUAGAGAUGUUUGGCAAGAUAAUUUUGAAGUGGAGUUACAAAACUUAAA